rnacentral:rRNA from 1 species
AUUAGUUACCAUCAGGUAAGGCGUGGGGACUCUAAUGAGACUGCCAUCGUAAGAUGUGAGGAAGGGUGGGGAUGACGUCAAAUCAGCACCGGCCCUUACGUCCGGGGCGACACACGUGUUACAAUGGGUGGUACAAAGGGCAGCUACCUGGCGACAGGAUGCUAAUCUCCAAAACCACUCUCAGUUCGGAUCGGAGUCUGCAACUCGACUCCGUGAAGCUGGAUUCGCUAGUAAUCGCGCAUCAGCCACGGCGCGGUGAAUACGUUCCCGGGCCUU